CCGCACGAAGCGGGACUGGGGGUAAACCCGCUGGGUUUUAAAACAGCGGAGAACCGGAGCGAUGACGUCCCCGGAUUGGGUGGGGGCGGGACUCGAUGUGCGGACCUGGAACCCACCGUGCGGCUCUUCUGCAACCGCGCCGUGGGCUUCGGUGUGACGCUAACAAACCUCUCCUCACUCUAACAUCCGAAGCUCAAAAAUACACACAGAGAGAACAUAAGAUCCAGUGAGGAUGGGUGUGUGUGUGUGUUUGUGCGCGCGCGCACACACACAGAGAGAGCGCAGUAAUAAUUCAGGGUUUCUUGCGUAUUGGGGGAAGUCAGGGAUGGUCAAGGUUUUUUUCAGGGCAUUGGGAGACUUUCUGUUUUUCUCUGGCUUUAGAGUCUCUUCCAUGUGAUUCAAAGUUCCCAUGUCGAACGUUCAGCAGCCUGAUGUGAGGAUUUUGGAGGCAGACACAGAUAUUCCUGUGUCACUCAUCAGUUCCUCAGAAUAAAUGAACUGGGGUUGGGCUGGGGACUGAUCUUUAAGCAGAGCCUGUCACAGCACAUCUCAUUCCCCCAAAAAAACCACAAGAGAGGUUCGAUGCCUGUGAGGUUCUCUAACUACACCGAACAUAUUUCAUGGCAGAGUGUCCAGUGAUCCCUGCCGGUUAAUGAAACGCAGAAAUAACGGGAAAUAGUCCAUUGAAACGCUAAUUUUUGUAAGCCUCUCCCAGAUCAGAUCAUCUUUAAGUUCUUUUUGCUUUCUUAAAUUAUUUCUCUGUUACUCUCCCUGGUUCUCCAGACCUGUCUUGAGAUUUCCAUACCCUCAAGCGUGUCUCAAGCACCACAAACUUUCUUACAACUCACCAGCCCCAAAUGCUGUCCGUCUCUACGGAGAAGGAGGUGACACUGAGCAAAAAACCAGCCGCUAUUGUCAUCUUCAUCGUUGGCAGAUACUCUCAGUGAGCUUUCGCUUCGAAUUCAGUCUCAUCAGCUUGUUGCCUUUCAGGCUUACCUAUGAGUCGAGUAUUUUAUCCACAUCAGUAUCAUCAAAGGUUACUCUUUCAAUCUGGAUUCUUUGAAACAGAAGAUCCAUGAUGCCAACAGAGCCCAGGAGAUGCAAAGCUGACUCUCAGCCCUGAAGACCAAGAAAUAAUUGUUCAUGAUUGAAGCCAUAAGAUGCUGGGAUUGUUCAUUACCACAGCAGAAGUUGACUGAUCCAGACUAAGACGUGUAACGCUGCUGCAGGCAUUCAGGUUGCUUGCUGAACUGGAUUCCUUUUUCUGUUACUUCCCUGGCAAAAAGCAAUAUCUUUUAAACUAUUUUCAGACUGUCCCUCUUCUUCUUCUAUUUUUGAAGAAUAUGAACAAAAAACUUUUUGCAAAUUGAACAUUAGUUCACUCAAAUAUAACUAAAUGACUCUCAAAAUUUUCCAUCAUAGCAGUUUUAAAAACAGAAAUAAUAUGAAAAAUCAAGUCAUAACAAAGUUACUAGGAGUAAACCAUACAAAGCAUCCAAGCUCUGUGUCCUCAGAAUUACCACCGUGACUACUCCACGAACAGCCAGGUGUGGCCGUGUGCCUCUGCAGGUCCAGCUCUUGGGAGGCUGAGGCGGGAGGACCUCUUGAGUCCAGCAGUUCUUGGCUGUGGUAUGCUACAGUCACGCCACUGGACUGUAGGAGACUAUACUCCAGCCUGAGCAACAUACUGAGACCCCAUCACUGAAAAUAGAAAUAAAAAAUAGAAAUGAAUACUGCAUGACCUUGGUUCCAGAUAACAGUGUCUCUCUAUGUGUAUCUGUUGAUGGAAAAGUGGAUGGAUGGUUGGAUGGCUAAAAAGAUGGGAACCUGAAGCCAGAUGGAUUUUCUACCUUAUAAACGAUCUGAUUUUUCUGCCUAGAAAUUUUCCCCUUCACUCCCAUUUUUGAGCUCUAAAAUGCAGUCAUUUAACGAAGAUACAUCUUAGCGUCUAUUGUUUCAAUAUUUCUGGCUGGGUGCAGCGUCUCACGCCUGUAACCCCAGCACUUUGGGAGGCCAAGGCAGGAGGAUCACUUGAGGUCAGAGGUUCGAGGCCAGGCUGGCCAACAUGGUGAAAUCCCAUCUCUACUAAAAUACAAAAAUUAGCUGGGUGUGGUGGUGUAUGCCUGUAGUCCCAGCUACUUGGGAGGCUGAAGCCCAAGAAUCACUUGAACCCGGGAGGCAGAGGUUGCAGUGAGCUGAGACAGCACCACUGCACUCCAGCUUGGGGGACAGACUGAGACUCCAUCUCAAAAAAAAAAUUCUAGAACAUAGUAUCCCGUUUUAAACUUCAGACGAGGUUCUUUCUACAUUUCUUGGAAAUUUCCUGCCUCACAUCUUCGCCUGAAGGGUACUAGUGCCCACUUCUGCCCCAUAGUGGAC
ensembl:lncRNA